rnacentral:misc_RNA from 1 species
GAUGAAGAACGUAGCGAAAUGCGAUAAGUAAUGUGAAUUGCAGAAUUCAGUGAAUCAUCGAAUCUUUGAACGCACAUUGCGCCCGCCAGUAUUCUGGCGGGCAUGCCUGUUCGAGCGUCAUUUCAACCAUCAAGCCCCAGGCUUGUGUUGGGGACCUGCGGCUGCCGCAGGCCCUGAAAACCAGUGGCGGGCUCGCUGUCACACCGGGCGUAGUAGAUUUUAUCUCGCUCAGGGCGUGCUGCGGGUUCCGGCCGUAAAAUCACCAAUUUAUCAAGGUUGACCUCGGAUCAGGUAGGAAUACCCGCUGAACUUAAGCAUAUCAAUAAGCGGAGGA